rnacentral:rRNA from 1 species
UGCUUUACACAUGCAAGUCGAACGGCAGCACGGGGCAACCUGGUGGCGAGUGGCGAACGGGUGAGUAACAUAUCGGAACAUGUCCGGAAGUGGGGGAUAACGUAGCGAAAGUUACGCUAAUACCGCAUAUGCCCCGAGGGGGGAAGGGGGGGAUCGCAAGACCUCUCGCUUUCGGAGUGGCCGAUAUCGGAUUAGCUAGUAGGUGAGGUAAAGGCUCACCUAGGCGACGAUCCGUAGCUGGUCUGAGAGGACGACCAGCCACACUGGAACUGAGACACGGUCCAGACUCCUACGGGAGGCAGCAGUGGGGAAUUUUGGACAAUGGGGGCAACUCUGAUCCAGCAAUGCCGCGUGUGUGAAGAAGGCCUUCGGGUUGUAAAGCAC